rnacentral:rRNA from 1 species
AGCAGUGAGGAAUAUUGCGCAAUGCCCGAAAGGUGACGCAGCGACGCCGCGUGGAGGAUGAAGGCCCUAUGGGUCGUAAACUCCUUUUGAGGGGGAAGAAUAGCCCCGCAUAGCGGGKUUUGACGGUACCCCUAGAAAAAGCACCGGCCAACUACGUGCCAGCAGCCGCGGUAAUACGUAGGGUGCAAGCGUUGUCCGGAAUCACUGGGUGUAAAGGGAGCGCAGGCGGGGUUGGCAAGUCGUUGGUGAAAUCCUGAGGCUCAACCUCAGGACUGCCAAUGAUACUGCCGAUCUUGAGUGCAGAAGAGGAAGACGGAAUUCCUGGUGUAGCGGUGAAAUGCGUAGAUAUCAGGAAGAACACCGGUGGCGAAGGCGGUUUUCUGGUCUGUAACUGACGCUCAUGCUCGAAAGCGUGGGGAGCAAACAGGAUUAGAUACCCUGGUAGUCCACGCCCUAAACGAUGGAUACUCGAUGUCGGGUCGUAAGGCCCGGUGUCCAAGCUAACGCGUUAAGUAUCCCACCUGGGGAGUACGAUCGCAAGGUUGAAACUCAAAGGAAUUGACGG